rnacentral:rRNA from 1 species
GAGGAGGGUAGGGGAAAGAGAAUGGGGAUCACGUUCUUCUUCGACGGAAACGGGGGGCUUGGAUUCGCUCUCUUUAGGCUCGCUCGGGGAGGAGGAGGGGCCGCUUAGGGAGGAGGAGGGACUCGUAGGUUUCACGCUCUACAGCUUCCAAAGCAGAGGGCCACCGCCGCGGGAGUGGGACCCGUGGUUCGCGGGAGGGCCGCGUGGGCCUGAGCCAUCCCCGGCUCUCAAGGAGCAGGGGUAGCGUCCCCGGGAACGGCACAAGCAGUAGGACAUGCCUGAGCCGACGAAGUCUAGCGACUUCUAAGCGGGUCGAUCGGCCGCCACCCGUCCGGGAGCAGACGUCUAGCUCGUCUCCACGUUCGCCGUCGGGAAACGGGACGAGAAAGUACAACAAGUAGAAAGUUGUAGAGGCCUAAAGAGAGGCAGGCCCGUCGUCCGCGCCGCUAGUUACCUGCUGAUAGUUCCUAGAUGAGUACGACGAUGGCCGCAGCACCGUUCUUAUAGACUACCACUCAAACACGAUCGACGACGUUCCCCUAUGCUGUUAUAAGUUUUAGGGGACUGUCGACUUUGUGAGCGAAAAUCUCUACGUUAAUGACUUCGUCAGUUUCUUCCUACCGUCGUACAGGUAAAACUUUGUCGAACAGUUUAUCCAUCACCUCUUCGAUUCCUUUUACGAUCAUUGAAUCAAGGGGAAUUUCCGCUGACCAUAACAAGGAAGUGGUAUACUACGAACUAAACAUAUUGAACUAAGACAAAAUGGUUAUCGUAUUUCAUGGUCCGGAUACUGUAGGAAAGGAGAAAGAGUUGAAAUUAGAAAGACUACAGGUAAAAAAAUCGUUUUAGGUAACUCAGUAACAUAUUUAUUUGACCGAACUAUUGAAUAAAUAUCUCUGUUUGCGAACGGUGCCCGCAAGAAAAAAAGUCCC